GGGAAAAGACAAGAUGGCCUAAGACCAAGCUCUGAGGAACUCCGACAUUUAGAGGUCAGGUGGAGAACAAGUUGCCAAAGGAGAAGCCGGCGAACUAAGAAGAAAAUCAGGAGGAUGCGGACUUCUGGAACCCAAAAGAAAAGAGUGUUCCAAAAAAGGAAUGGGAAACUGUGCUGAAGGCUGCAGAGACAUGAAGCAAGCCUGCCCUGAGAAGUGUGCAGUGGAUUGGGUAGAAGCCACUGUAGCUCUGCCUACGGCAUUUGCAAUGGCAGCUGCCCCCGGUCGGUCAUUG
rnacentral:lncRNA from 1 species